rnacentral:rRNA from 1 species
GAUGAACGCUGGCGGCGUGCCUAAUACAUGCAAGUCGAGCGGACGGACGAGAAGCUUGCUUCUCUGAUGUUAGCGGCGGACGGGUGAGUAACACGUGGAUAACCUACCUAUAAGACUGGGAUAACUUCGGGAAACCGGAGCUAAUACCGGAUGAUAUUUUGAACCGCAUUGUUCAAAAGUGAAAGACGGUCUUUCGGUCACUUAUAGAUGGAUCCGCGCUGCAUUAGCUAGUUGGGAAGGUAACGGCUUACCAAGGCAACGAUGCAUAGCCGACCUGAGAGGGGGAUAGGCCACCCUGGAACUGGGCCAGGGUCAAGACUACUACGGGAGGCAGCAGUAGGGAAUCUUCCGCAAUGGGCGGAAGCCUGACGGAGCAACGCCGCGUGAGUGAUGAAGGUCUUCGGAUCGUAAAACUCUGUUAUUAGGGAAAAACAUAUGUGUAAGUAACUGUGCACAUCUUGACGGUACCUAAUCAGAAAGCAACGGCUAACUACGUG